UUUCAAGGCUUAUAAUGUGGUUGGGCUAACAAGGAAAAUUGGUUUUUCUAGAUCACAAAAUCCUUGAGUUAAGAAAGUCAUUCAAAUAAUUAUAAUUCAAGCACAAACUCUCUUUAUACCAAUCUUACUCAUUCCCAACUUUCCAUUUUCUUCACAUUGAGGUUUUCUUUUCAUGUUUUUCUUUUUCUAUCUUUUCAUCUCUUUCAUGCAUGUUCAUUCAACUCAUUGGCUUAAUCCCUAGCGUUUCUUUUCUUUUUCAAUUCUCCCAGCAACCCCAAACUUGAACCUUUUAACAACACCAC
rnacentral:lncRNA from 1 species